rnacentral:lncRNA from 9 species
AUGACAGAGGAGGGACGGACAUGCUCUGCUGUGUCCCAUUCUCCUGAGGGCGUGGCCUCAGGAAAGGGCACAGCAGAGAAAAUAUUUAUCAAACAACUAGAGGACCAUUCACAUCUCAGGGCAGAUGCCUAUGGGCCUUUGCCCGGAAGGAACCAGAGAUCCCCUCUCCAGAGACCCGCCAGGAGGUGGGCAAUGAAUGGAGAAGGAUGCAAGACCAAACACCACCCAGGCCACUAUUCCCCAGGGUCUGCUCCUGGGCUCAUGGGGAGCUCAGCACAUCAGGCUCUGGCACGGAGAACCGAGUCAACCCUUUCCUGAGUCUGCUGAACAGCCUCGCACCCACUGAGAAACAGCCUGAAGGAUGCAAGAAAAUCUCAGCACUGCCAAGAAAGGCCAUUGCUUCCAUCACACACAAACACACACACACUAUACACACAGCUGAAGCAGAAGAUAAAAGUGCAAAACCUUUGGACUUGUCACCAUUUGGGACUUGAGGCACAGAGGUAACUCCAAGAAACCAGCAGCUACCUGGAGCAGUGGGUUAUAGAUGGCAUGCCUUGGAGCUUGUCAGGGGGGGAAUAAAACUGUGCUUUUCUCACAUUUCAACAAUUUCUCUCAAAAGAAAAAGAAAAAGGAAGAAUAUUAUGCUCAUUGACCCUCUCUAAUCAAUUAUAUCCUUAUGUACAAGAAAAUUAUCAGCACCCACACCAGCUAUAAAAUACAUAAAAACAAAGUAAUGGUCAUGGAUUUAAAAUGAUACAUCUUGAAUAUGCAAAAAAUUAUUUAGAGAGAACAUGACCUAGGUUUCUUACAUAAAUCAAC